rnacentral:lncRNA from 1 species
UUUAGUUCACCUAACGUACCACGUAGGUGUCUGUCUACAGCCGAUGACCUCAUUUCACUUAUUUAAUUUUUGUAACAGUCAGUUGGCUAAGCAAACUGAUUUUUAGACUAUUUAUCUUCCUCCUCUUCUUCCCCACUCCGCUUGAAGUUCUGCAGGAACUUGCGCUUUACCGCAGCACCGUCACCUCGAGUGGGCCCACGGUCCCGCCUAGUGGAGGCCAGGAGCCCAGCGAGCGGCCCCUUCUGAAUGUGCUCAGCAUCUGUACAAAUGCAUUUUAUUUGCUACAGUUUGUGAAGCUGUAAUGUUAAAAGAUAUGAGAACUUUUUCAGCAUAAAUAUAUUUUACUUGCACUGUGUUUUUUAGCUAAAAGUGAAAACUUAGAUUAAAUAAAAUCAAAGUUGAGAAGAAUCAUCAAAAGACUGUUUCUCAGUGUGAAUCAAGUGUUGAAAAAUGGUUGGUGUAUUUUCUCAGUAAUUGUAC